AUUACCGAGUUUACAACUCCCAAACCCCUGUGAACAUACCAUCUCAGUUGCUUCGGCGGGACCGCCCCGGCGCCCUCGGGCCCGGAUCCAGGCGCCCGCCGGAGGCCCCAAACUCUUGUUUUAUUCUGUGGAUCUUCUGAGUGAUACAAGCAAAUAAAUCAAAACUUUCAACAACGGAUCUCUUGGUUCUGGCAUCGAUGAAGAACGCAGCGAAAUGCGAUAAGUAAUGUGAAUUGCAGAAUUCAGUGAAUCAUCGAAUCUUUGAACGCACAUUGCGCCCGCUAGUAUUCUAGCGGGCAUGCCUGUUCGAGCGUCAUUUCAACCCUCAAGCCCCCGGGCUUGGUGUUGGGGAUCGGCAACGCGGGUCCCGCCUCCGGGCGGGCUCGGGCCGGCCCCGAAAUCUAGUGGCGGUCUCGCUGUAGUCCCCCUUUGCGUAGUAGCACAACCUCGCACUGGAACUUGGCAAGGCCACGCCGUUAAACCCCCCACUUCUGAAGGUUGACCUCGGAUCAGGUAGGAAUACCCGCUGAACUUAAGCAUAUCAAUAAGCGGAGGAAAAGAAACCAACAGGGAUUGCCCUAGUAACGGCGAGUGAAGCGGCAACAGCUCAAAUUU
rnacentral:rRNA from 1 species